AGUAACACGUGGGGAACCUGCCCCAUGGUCUGGGAUACUACUUGGAAACAGGUGCUAAUACCGGAUAAGAAAGCGGAUCGCAUGAUCAGCUUUUAAAAGGCGGCGUAAGCUGUCGCUAUGGGAUGGCCCCGCGGUGCAUUAGCUAGUUGGUAAGGUAAAGGCUUACCAAGGCGAUGAUGCAUAGCCGAGUUGAGAGACUGAUCGGCCACAUUGGGACUGAGACACGGCCCAAACUCCUACGGGAGGCAGCAGGU
rnacentral:rRNA from 1 species